rnacentral:rRNA from 4 species
UGCAGAAUCCCGUGAACCAUCGAGUCUUUGACGCAAGUUGCGCCCGAAGCCAUUAGGCCGAGGGCACGUCUGCCUGGGCGUCA